ensembl:snoRNA SNORD116 Small nucleolar RNA SNORD116
GGACCAAUGAUGACUUACAAAAAUGAAUCUUGUUGGAUUCUGAACAAAAUGAGUGACCAAACCACUUCUGUGAGCUGAGGUCU